rnacentral:rRNA from 1 species
GACUCCUACGGGAGGCAGCAGUGAGGAAUAUUGGUCAAUGGGCGAGAGCCUGAACCAGCCAAGUAGCGUGCAGGACGACGGCCCUAUGGGUUGUAAACUGCUUUUAUGCGGGGAUAAAGUGAGCCACGUGUGCCUUUUUGCAGGUACCGCAUGAAUAAGGACCGGCUAAUUCCGUGCCAGCGAGCCGCGGUAAU